rnacentral:piRNA from 1 species
UGUGAACACAGUUGUGUAUUGUUGCCCUGUC